rnacentral:rRNA from 1 species
CCCACUAUGCUUAGUCAUAAACCUUGAUAGUCCCACCACCCACUAUCCGCCAGAACACUACGCGCGAAAAGCGUAAAACUCAAAGGACUUGACGGUAUCCCACAUCAGCCUAGAGGAGCCUGUCCUAUAAUCGAUGACCCGCGUUCUACCUCACCCGCCCUCGCACCAUAUCAGCCUAUAUACCGCCGUCGCCAGCCUACCUUAUGAUAGACCAACAGUAGGCACAAUAGCCGCCACUCACACGUCAGGUCAAGGUGUAGCCAAUGGGCGGGCAGCGAUGGGCUACAUUUUCUAAUGUAGAAAACCACCAACCGCGCUAUGAAACCCGCCAUUUUGGGGAUCUUGGCAGUGAAAC